UGCAGAGGGCCAACUGGAAACACUGUA
rnacentral:piRNA from 1 species